rnacentral:rRNA from 1 species
AGGAUGAACGCUGGCGGCGUGCCUAAUACAUGCAAGUCGAGCGAACGGACGAGAAGCUUGCUUCUCUGAUGUUAGCGGCGGACGGGUGAGUAACACGUGGAUAACCUACCUAUAAGACUGGGAUAACUUCGGGAAACCGGAGCUAAUACCGGAUAAUAUUUUGAACCGCAUGGUUCAAAAGUGAAAGACGGUCUUGCUGUCACUUAUAGAUGGAUCCGCGCUGCAUUAGCUAGUUGGUAAGGUAACGGCUUACCAAGGCAACGAUGCAUAGCCGACCUGAGAGGGUGAUCGGCCACACUGGAACUGAGACACGGUCCAGACUCCUACGGGAGGCAGCAGUAGGGAAUCUUCCGCAAUGGGCGAAAGCCUGACGGAGCAACGCCGCGUGAGUGAUGAAGGUCUUCGGAUCGUAAAACUCUGUUAUUAGGGAAGAACAUAUGUGUAAGUAACUGUGCACAUCUUGACGGUACCUAAUCAGAAAGCCACGGCUAACUACGUGCCAGCAGCCGCGGUAAUACGUAGGUGGCAAGCGUUAUCCGGAAUUAUUGGGCGUAAAGCGCGCGUAGGCGGUUUUUUAAGUCUGAUGUGAAAGCCCACGGCUCAACCGUGGAGGGUCAUUGGAAACUGGAAAACUUGAGUGCAGAAGAGGAAAGUGGAAUUCCAUGUGUAGCGGUGAAAUGCGCAGAGAUAUGGAGGAACACCAGUGGCGAAGGCGACUUUCUGGUCUGUAACUGACGCUGAUGUGCGAAAGCGUGGGGAUCAAACAGGAUUAGAUACCCUGGUAGUCCACGCCGUAAACGAUGAGUGCUAAGUGUUAGGGGGUUUCCGCCCCUUAGUGCUGCAGCUAACGCAUUAAGCACUCCGCCUGGGGAGUACGACCGCAAGGUUGAAACUCAAAGGAAUUGACGGGGACCCGCACAAGCGGUGGAGCAUGUGGUUUAAUUCGAAGCAACGCGAAGAACCUUACCAAAUCUUGACAUCCUUUGACAACUCUAGAGA